rnacentral:rRNA from 1 species
CACUUCUAAGAAAGGCAGCAGGCGCGCAAAUUACCCAAUCCUGACUCAGGGAGGUAGUGACAAGAAAUAACAAUAAACCGGCUUAUGCCGGUUUAAUUGGAAUGAGUACAAUUUAAACAUCUUAACGAGGAACAAUUGGAGGGCAAGUCUGGUGCCAGCAGCCGCGGUAAUUCCAGCUCCAAUAGCGUAUACUAAAGUUGUUGCAGUUAAAAAGCUCGUAGUUGGAUUUCUGUGGGGACGGAGCGGCCGGCCGCACAUCGCGGUUCGAGCUAGCGCUUUCCCUACAUCCUGCCGCGAACCGUGCUACCAUUAGUUUGGUGGCGCCGGGGAUCGGCUCGAUUACUUUGAGAAAAAUAGAGUGUUCAAAGCAGGCCACAUGCCUUGAAUAAGUUAGCAUGGAAUAAUAACUAAGGACUUCGGUUCUAUUUUGUUGGUGUUCGGGACUGAAGUAAUGAUUGAUAGGGACAGUUGGGGCGGUCUGUAUUCCAAAGCGAGAGGUGAAAUUCUUAGACCUUCGGAAGACAAACAGCUGCGAAAGCGUUCCGCAAGGAUGUUCCCUUUGAUCAAGAACGAAAGUUGGGGGAUCGAAGACGAUCAGAUACCGUCGUAGUCUCAACUAUAAACUAUACCAGCUAGGGAUCGGCCAACGUUAUUUCAUACCGACUUGGUCGGCACCUUAUGAGAAAUCAAAGCAUCUGGGUUCCGGGGGGAGUAUGGUCGCAAGGCUGAAACUUAAAGGAAUUGACGGAAGGGCACCACCAGCCGUGGAGCCUGUGGCUUAAUUUGACUCAACACGGGAAAACUUACCAGGUCCAGACAUAGUAAGGAUUGACAGAUUGAUAGCUCUUUCUUGAUUCUGUGGGUGGUGGUGCAUGGCCGUUCUUAGUUGGUGGAGUGAUUUGUCUGGUUAAUUCCGUUAACGAACGAGACCCCAGCCUGCUAAAUAGCGCGCGUGAGCUUUGCUCGCGGUCGAGCUUCUUAGAGGGACUAUGAUGCGCGAUAGCACAUGGAAGUUUGGGGCAAUAACAGGUCUGUGAUGCCCUUAGAUGUUCUGGGCCGCACACGGGCUACACUGGCGCCUGCAACGAGCAUAUCAGCUGGCCCGAGAGGGUCUUGGCUAAUCUUUUGAACCGGCGCCGUGCUUGGGAUUGAUCUUUGCAAUUGUUGGUCAUGCAACGAGGAAUGCCUUGUAAACGCGAGUCAUCAGCUCGCAUUGAAUACGUCCCUGCCCUUUGUACACACCGCCCGUCGCUCCUACCGAUGAAUGUUCCGAUGAAAUUUUCGGAGAGCACCUGUGAACUUGGCUCCGCCUUGCGAACGGGAGGCUCAAAGUCACUUAAAUCUGAACAUUUCGAGG